rnacentral:rRNA from 1 species
GACGAACGCUGGCGGCGUGCCUAAUACAUGCAAGUUGAGCGCUGAAGGUUGGUACUUGUACCGACUGGAUGAGCAGCGAACGGGUGAGUAACGCGUGGGGAAUCUGCCUUUGAGCGGGGGACAACAUUUGGAAACGAAUGCUAAUACCGCAUAAAAACUUUAAACACAAGUUUUAAGUUUGAAAGAUGCAAUUGCAUCACUCAAAGAUGAUCCCGCGUUGUAUUAGCUAGUUGGUGAGGUAAAGGCUCACCAAGGCGAUGAUACAUAGCCGACCUGAGAGGGUGAUCGGCCACAGUGGGACUGAGACACGGCCCAAACUCCUACGGGAGGCAGCAGUAGGGAAUCUUCGGCAAUGGACGAAAGUCUGACCGAGCAACGCCGCGUGAGUGAAGAAGGGUUUCGGAUCGUAAAAAUCUGUUGGUAGAGAAGAACGUUGGUGAGAGUGGAAAGCUCAUCAAGUGACGGUAACUACCCAGAAAGGGACGGCUAACUACGUG